GUGUCAGCAGCCGCGGUAACACAGAGGUCCCAAGCGUUGUUCGGAUUCACUGGGCGUAAAGGGUGCGUAGGUGGUAGGGUAAGUCGGAUGUGAAAGCUCGGAGCUCAACUCCGAAAUGGCAUUGGAAACUACCUUGCUCGAGGAAUGGAAGGGGGACUGGAAUUCUCGGUGUAGCAGUGAAAUGCGUAGAUAUCGAGAGGAACACCAGUGGCGAAGGCGAGUCCCUGGACAUCUCCUGACACCAAGGCACGAAAGCUAGGGGAGCAAACAGGAUUAGAAACCCGUGUAGUCC
rnacentral:rRNA from 1 species